UAUUUUAGCCUCUACUGAUUUAGUUCAUAUAACUCAUAGCUAGGGUAGAAGAGAACGGAAAAAUCCGAAAUGUGAUUUAAUUUAUUAUUACAAACGUUAAAGGACUCGAAUUCGUCCAGGGAAACUUGGAGCAUUGGAGCGGGGUGCAAAGCGAUUUACGGCAGGACAUCAAUACCACUGGGCGCAAGGGAAUGCGGGGGACUGGCAAAUGAGUUCCAUUUAUAUCAUUGGUCAUUACGGAAAUUAUGCGACGCCGAAGGAUUCCGAGUCCGACUCCAAGUCCAAGUCCUGGCCACGGAAGCGGUAUAAAACGAUAAAGAUACAUUGCGAACGGAUGUGCCAGUAUGAAAAUCGCCCCGGGGACGUUCGAUGGACAGAGCUGCAUGGCCAAGGAUGUGCGGAUGCGGCUGGAGGAGCAGGGGCACUGGGCAGGGGAUGACACUGAACUGACACUGACCAUUCACCAAGCGGCCGGGGUGAAGUCGUAAAAAACAGCCAAGGCAGCCAGCACAUCAAUAAAAAAACGCAAGACAAUGGACCCAGUUCAAUGGGCUGAGGGGAGUGGACUUUUGGCAGGAAAGGAAGGAUUUUUACAAGAUGCCAGCCCACAGAUUAGAAAUGGGUGGAAUAUAGUGAGGAAAGGAGGUGACAGAUGGAGAUUAAAUUUAUACGAUUAACAAAGCCUAUACGAAUUUAACAUGACUAACUCAUUCUUCUGUUGCUUGUACAAAUUAUAACAUCAAGAAAAACAGGUUUAAAUAAACUGAAACAUUUUUGAUCUACG
ensembl:ncRNA lncRNA:CR43839 long non-coding RNA:CR43839